GGUCUGCUCCUGAACUGCUACCUAUGCGCUUGCAUAUAAAUAGCACUUUAGUUUCAUGAGUUGGAAUAAUGGCUGAAGAGACUUACCAACAGUGCAGAAUCUCUUUUAUUAUUUUUUUUUCAGAUCCGGUAUGCCUGCAGUUAGAAAAAUCCUACAUAUGCUUUGGCUUUGAGCUGAAGCUCACCCUGCAGAGAGGCGUAGCACAAAGCAGAGCCUCACGCCAACCCUGCUCAGCCAGGGCUUCCAUGUUGCCUCGGAAAGGUGCAAGAAUCAAGAGGCAGCUGCUUUCUGUUCACGGGUAAAGGCGCAUAAAUAAUACCUUUAUGACUCAGGUAUGUCCUGAAAUAUGCAACCUGGCGGCAGACAAUUCUCGUUUAUCGUGCAGAUAGUUGUUCUGAACCGCAUGGCUGCUAAGUCAUGAAAUAUUAAUGGCCAUGCAAAUCUCCUCUUCUGUAUCACAAGCCUUUCUGUGUUCCUGACCCCUGACUUCCUUUAAUCAUCUCCUGGGUGUGUGGUCUGUUACUAUUCUGAGAUAUCUUGUGAACAGGGGCGCAGUAAUUACUUGAUCCCUGCCUGCUGCAAGAGCCUUUUUGAAAAGAAAGUGGAUAGCUUGAGAGGGAGGCUUCCUCCUCACAUUGAAAUCAACCCCACCUGCUUACUUCACAGCGUUUCUCUUUUGGUGGCCUGAACACAGAUCCACUGUGUUUGGUGUUAUUCUUAGGACUUGAAAAACAGCAUUUUAUCACCUGUUUAUCUGUAGAUUAAAUACAAUUUCUAAUCAGAUAUGCCUUCCUGCCCUUUCCCUCUCCCACUAAUGUUAUAAGCCACCCUUAUAAAUAAGCUACAGUUCCAACCACCAGAGUUUUGUUGUGAUUUGCUGCAAACAGGCCCAGAGUUCUUCCAGCCAGUCGCUACAGCAAUAUUACUUCUAGGGAUAUCUUAUCCUUCUUCCUAAUCCCCGGGGCAGCCUGAUCUAGUAUUAAAUGUGGAGGUUGGUGGCCUUGCCUGUGGCAGGGGGCUGGAGAAUCAUGAUCCUUGUGGUUCUUUCCAAGCUGGGCCAUUCUGUGAUUCUGUGAUGAUAACUACAGGCUGAAUUAAUGCCUGACACAUGAUUUCUUUUUAAGAACUGUGUCACACAUUUUUGGCAGAAAUCUCCUUUCUCUACUUGUUCCCUAAAAAUAACAAUUAUACCAUUGUGUGGAAAUAUGCAAAUGUUUCCGAGCUCCCUGCCAGACGUAGGAGAGGUGGGUGAUAUGCUGUGAGGGUCUGACAACCAAAGGAGCAGCUGCUGCACAAGAAACGCGUUGAGAGAGAGGAGCGAUCAUGGAGGAGUGUUUGCCAUACGGGAGCUAUUUCAGUAAGUCAGCAUGGUGAAAGCAUAGUCACGAGUACGUAUUUUUAAAACAGAAUUUGUAGUGAGUGCCAGCAGCUCAGUGUAGCGCAAGGACAAUAGUGACCACACAGUUAUGUACAAGGUUAUUGAAGACUGACCUACAGAGGUUUCUGAUUUCUGGAGCAACAGCCCAAAGCAGUGCUUUUUAAAAUGACAGUUUCAUGUAGACAGGGACUUGGGGAGGUGAGUGGAGGCUAAAACAUUCUAUAUGGAAGCAGGGAAAGGGUGCCCGCUUUGUAACAUUUGGGUGGGACGGAAGAGUCUUUUCUCAGCCUCUGCCAUUCAGAUGUCAGUCAGCGUGUGCCAUUUCUGACAGCUGGGUGUCAACCUGUGAGGAAUCCACACCCUGUAUUUCAAAGGUACAAAGAUAUCUAUGUCUGGAACAGAAAAGCCAGUAUGUCACUCCUGGCCCUCCUGCAGUGCAUGGUAUGUCAGAGUCCUGCACUGUGGUAUCCAGCCGUGUCCGAACAGACAUCUAAGCCCAGCUGCAGGUGUUGCUCUCCUUUAGCUUGCGAAGUUGUGGCUUGCCUUUGGAGAGAGCUGAGCUCUGAUCAGCUGGACAGAGAGAGCAGUGAGUAAUCCUCAUUUACCUGGCUUAGUAGCCCAGCUGUGAGUCAGCCUAAUGAGCAAUGCCAAAAGUGCUGACCUGCCCAUCUCACACUUUCUUCACUUGUGCAGUGAAGCUUUGGUGUGCCUCAGUGCCAAGGUUUAGGCAGAGGAGACCCCAGGACAUAGAUUUUAUUGCAAGUCUUGCUUGUAGAAUAUGUAUGAAUGCACAAGCACUCAGUGCGAGUAAUUAGGCUGGCUUUCCUCCCUUGUCAGCUGGAAGAUACGGUCAGCUUUAAAGGCAGCUCACCCCGGAUUAGGAAAAAUGUCUAAGACAAAUGGGAAGAAUCACUCUACUCCCUUCUCUGUUACCUGCCCAGGUUCCUCAUGUAAUUUGCUUGGUUGGGCACAAAUCCUUGAGACAGAAAAAUCUGAGAUGGAUGUAACUCACACUAGACCUCAUGUAAAGCCCGUGGCAGGUAAAUGUGGUAGAUAGCCAACUCCUAGUUCUAUACUACAGCCUUGAAACAUGAUUGUCCCUCCUCAGCUGUCACAGAGACUUCUCUGCCUUUUCUGUCUCUGCUUUAACAAACAGAAGUCUGGAAGGUAAAAACUGUCCACACAGAGCUAGCUGGUUUCCACUGACAUCUCAUAAAUUAUGAGGCUGACUUGCCCUGAUACCCACAGCCUUCAGAGCCCUGUGGACUUCCUAUAUAUAUAGAAGUGUGGGGGACACUUCAACCCCCAAAUCCUGAAUGAACAAGCAAAUGAAAGUGAUAAAGCAUUUGCUCAGAAGUAGCAAGAGGCAAGAGAAUGUGAAUUUUGCAGCUGAGAUCAUAUUAGUGGAAAUAUUUCCAGCAGUUUGUAUAUUCCUUAUAUUUAUAAUUUAUUAUUAACAGUCUGAGAGGGAGAAAAAUAACUCAUUAAACAAUCUGCAAGGCAUUCAUAAGACAUUAUUGUGAUCGAGUCUCAGGGAAACACAUGAGGCUUCACAAAUAUAUUAAGUUUUAUCUACCCAGUUAAGUCAUUUUACAUAAAAAGUGAAACCUAAUCCAACCAAUCUGUCUCUGUUGCUGCUGCUCAAGGGAAAACAAAUUCAGAUCCACCAUAAUCUGAGUAAUAGGUUCAACACCAGCUCCCGCUUAUCAGAGGGAAAAGAACAGUUUCAUCUCAUACUUUCUACAGGCUGCCCCAUGCUUAUCUAUUCCCUGGUGGCCAGGCAUCAGAGCAGAGCGAUUCAUGGAGUCCCUUUCCCAAGGGCUGCAAAUCUAGAUGCCUCACCAUGAUACCCCUCUCCUCACUGUGGGAGCUGUGCUGACACUUGCUUUCUCAGGUGGGAAUAAUUCAUAUCCAGAUUUGAGAAAAAGGAUGGAAGAAGUGAAAUUUCUCCCUUAGCACCAAUCCGCAUUCUUCCUCCAGUCAGCAAAAAGGCAGUAACACGCUGCUCUGUCAAACUCAUCCCUUGGAAACUCCUCUCCAAAAUCAGACAUUUAAUAUACUUGCCUCUGACUGCUACUACUUAGUGAGAUGUUCUGUUGUUUUGUGGAAGCUAGUGCUCACCAACAGCCCCCUACUUUGCUUUCCAAACCUCUGCUGUCUGUUUGUUCUCUGCAGUGACAAUCCUGUAUGGGAAAUAACUUGAGGAAUAUCUGGGAGCAGUGAAGCCUUCAAAGGAAAAUUCUUGGGAAGCUGGAAGUACAGUGGGACGGAAAAUAUAAUCUUUCUCAUUUCAGAUGAACUUCUGCCUUCCUUGAGAUCCCUGUGAAUUUCAGAGCCUUUGAUGGCCGCGAAACAUCAGAGGAGCCUUUAUUCCACGUAAAACCUAUGUGAAAGUACGCUGCUCCUGCUCCCACAAAGAGUUGCUACGCACCCUGCUGCUUGCUUUUGUCAUCUUCUCAGCUGAUGGAGUCAAACUGCAUUUGUCUGGGAGGUUGUGGCAGUGCCCUGACUGCUGUUUAUGGCAUUGCAGAAGCAAGACAUUGUAGGAAUGGGGCCACUCCAGCUGCACUCCUGAAGGGAGAAAUCUGAGGUCAGCAGGCACAGGUGGCAGGCCAUCUCAUGGUAGAUAUUUUCCACAUGGGCACUGUGGAGAAGCAGGCCUUGGUGUGGGCACCUCCAGAGCAUUCCACAGAUGCCAGCCACCCACUGGCAAGUCCUGGCUGGGAGAAGGCUGGAGGGCCCGGGAGUCGUCUUGCUGCUGCAGGAAGGCUGCAGGUGAUCCACAGUCAGCAUCACAAAGAACUGCAGGUAGCUGUGUUUUCCUGAAACAAGCUGAAGAUGUGUCAGACUGCACUUGGAGUGUUGCAGCAUAUUCCAUGGAGAGAGAAUCUGACUUUAUCUGCUGGAGUGGUGUAUAAAAGGGUAUUCCUCUUGAUGUGAAUGGAGAGCAGUUAUUGAACAUAUACUUUGGCACAAAAUAUACUGGCUUUCUGCAGGGAUGUGCUGAACCAUGCAGCAGGGCAAGUUGAAUAUAUAUAUAUAUAUUUCAUUUUUUUGAACUAACUUGGCUGAAUUGUUAUCGUUGCACAAGGGCUGUUAGGGCCAGGCAGAAGUGAUACACACCUGUAAAGUGAUGUGAGCAGAACUGUGAAGCAGGUCAGAGGCAACCUGAUCUAGUAAAUGUGUAUGUUUGGUGGCCCUGCCAGGCAGGGGGGUUGGAACUACAUGAUCCUUGAGGUCCCUUCCAACCCAGGUCAUUCUGUGAUUCUGUGAUUCAGGUCAAGUGUGCCCAAGACCUUAGUGACUCUGUUAGGUAUAUAUCAGGACUAUGUUAGGAGUGGAGUUAUAUAGGCCCAAGUCAGGAAACAAACUUGUAGCAGUGAGGCAAAAGGCUGUAAAAUAACAAAACGACAUUGUCCAGUACUUCACAUUGCUAAUGAGACAUAACUUGAUAAUGCUUAUCUGCACUGCCAAACACAAAUGUAAGCACAGCUCUAUUUGCAGAGGAGGAAAGCACCAUAUCAGCCCCAAAAACUCCCACUUUUUGGAGCGCAUAGGAAAUGUGUGGUGUUUUUUGACUGAACAGAGUUCAAAAUGCAAUGCACUGGUCUAACCCAGAGGGUAGAAACAUUGCAGCUGCAUAAUAUUGGUGCUGGUAUGGCAGCAAAGCUACUUUCACAUCAUGCUAUGUGUUGUAAGACUGAAAGUUUUACUAAACAAGAUUUUUUUUUUUUUUUUUUUUUAAGAAUACAGCAUAAGCAUUAUCUGAGGAAAGUCUGGUGAGGGGGGAGGAACAGAAAUCAUACUGAAAUCCAUCAGUAUGACAGCAUGGCUUGGAAGUAAAAUCCUCCAGAAUAAAGACAGUAAUUCAGAAAAGCUUUAGUGUAAGUGAAGAAAUGAAGAUCUAUGGGCUCACCAGAAAGGCUCCAAGUGAUCUGAUCUGAAUAUAAGAUAGAGGAGACGCUUGCAGCAAUAAGCAGCAAAGCAACAAGGAAAAAUCGACAUAAUAAACUGACAAAGUCCAAGACCUUAUUGAAGCUCGUCCUUUGUGGUGUUGUUUUGUUGUUUUUUUUUUUUCUUUUUAGAAAAGAGGAAUCAAGCUGAGCAAAGCCAGGAGAAAAUAAAAUUAACUACAGAAGGUAAAAUGUCAGCCACCUUCACCUUUGAAUUUUGCAAGACAUAAUAGUUGAAGAGGUAAGAGCCGAUAACCAGAAAACGUGUCAGAUAAGUCUUUUUUGAGGACUGUGGGGUCUGCCAAGUGGUCUGGGCAGACCUUGAAGAGGCCCUUGAAAAACACAUCUUUUAAAGAAGCUGAAUGAUUUUGGGAUAUUGGUCUUCACUGCGGACUAAGAUAGAGAGAGAGAGAUGCCACCCCAAGUUGCUACUCUCAAGCAGUUAAAACAGAGGAACUGUUGGGCUUGAGGUAACCAGACACCUGCAUGCCACCUGAAUGCCAAUGUCUUCCCUACAGAAAGGUUUGAUGCCUUUUCAGAGCAGUCUCUCGUGGGAUUCUUCAUAAUUUCCUGAAGCCCAAGCAAAGAUGUAUUGCCUGGUCUGUGUGAUAGUUUCUAGAUGCUUUCCAAUGAGUAUGUAAAUAAAGCUAUGCAUUACAUAGUGGAAGGAAAAAUGAAGCCCUUUGUUUAAAUCUCAGUUUCUCUCUUGUAACAAAACCAUUUCAAACUAACAUGUCUUGAUACCCACUGAAGUAGAUACCUCAUCCCUUCUAUGAGGUAGAGCUAAAGCGCAGCUGUCACUAAAGAAGAACUCAUUGAAAACUGUACCCAUCUUCCACCAAGCUUUAAGUUCUUUCCUCAAACAAACAUACAGAUUUUCAAGUAUUUCUAUGGAAAAGAGAUGGGCAUUUGCAAAGUCUUUUUUUGUUUUGUUUUACGCCUUUAUAUCUUCAGGUGCAACCCUCCGUCUUGGACCUCUCUCUCCCAGAAAUGUUGUCAUGUGCAUAAAGCUGCAGGGAUAUAUUUCAGGUUUUGCCUUAGCAGUCAGGUCAAAUGAAUGCAGGCAUUGCCUCUCCUCCCACCUCCACCAAUCAAAAUAUGAUCUGAAAUAUUCUGGCUGAUUCCCAGUGCAGCCAGAAAACAGCACAGAGGGGAAAAAAAUCUUCCUUUCACUGAAGACGUCACAUCAGCCAGCACAAAGCCUGGUUCCAGCCUCAGGUUUCAAGACAAAGGCUACUUCAAUCAAGUGACAGUGGAGGAAAUGCAGAGAAAGAUAGUCUGUCUGGAUUUUGCCCGGUUUUAAAAUCCAUGUAAAAUAUUCUUCAUAUAUGUACUUCCUAAUCCCAUAGCUAUCAUUUUCCUAUUUAACAAAGUUAAAUGCCCAUAUGCCUACUCGCACACACAGAAAAGCUGAUCCAGGUGCAGCUAGGAUUCAGGCAGCCUGUGGAGUUUAGAAAGGUCACUUGCAAGAGAGGAGAGAAACUGAGGGUGUCACCGUUAAUUGAGAAAGAGAUAUUUAACAUCAUUCUGACAAUAAACAAAGCAAAUGACAUUAGCUCUGCCAGCCUAGGCAUGCUGUUAAGAUACUUCUUGUGCUUAAUAUAAAUAUUAUCUGCUGUCCUCUGAGGUCCUGGUUGGGCUGUGCAGUGAGUAGUGCAGAAUUUCCAUAGUUCUGGAGAUGGCAAAAUCACUGUACAUCCCAUCCUUUUGCCACCCUUGCUGCCUAUGAAACCAGCUGAAAUGACUGGAGAAAGUCAGCCCCAUUCCUUGUCCCCUCUACCUGUGGUUUGGAGCAAACUCAGAAUACCAGGGAACUCCAGAUACUGCUCCUCCCCACCACUGUCCUGUCAAAUCAGCACCCCACCUUUCCCAUCCGACCUUCCCCAUUGCCUUUUCCUUUCCCUGAAUGCUUAUGAAGGCCCGUGAACUUAGCACUGCUGGUGGGAUUGCAAAACCCAGCCCAGGCAGGAGUGCCAGGUUCUGGCUAAACAGCUGCUGUAUACUGUCAGAGCUACACACUGCAAUGAUUUGUACAGCCCAUUGCUGAACCAGCUAGGGCCAUUUGUUUAAAAAAUAAAGAGACAGCUAAAUUCAACUCUUCUCCUUCUCCUAGCAAGCUGAUAUCAUUCGACUCCCUUAAAAAUGGCUUGCUCCAGAAUGCAUUAGAGCUAAAUUAUCAUUUAUGUUUGUCACAGGGAUUGCUAAUGUGUAAUGAGAUUUUAGAGUUAAUGUUUUGUACAAAGCACUUAGCAGAGCUGGGAUGAAAUUGGUUCAGGAUUCUGAUGUGGUGUUUUAAUUAAAGAUAUUUUCCAAUCAGGGCUGAGCGAACGACAUGUCAGAAGAUUUUGUACCCAUCAGCCAAUAUACCAAUGCAAUCCUGGUCUUGCUUUCUGCUUUUGGGAUCUCUUCAGGGAAUGAGAGGAUUGAGCCUCUCUGAAUCUCAUUCAGAACAGCUUUUCUUAGCUGCAGACCUUAAAGGAGGAGAUAUGUGUAUGUGACGCUCCAAAGCCUUCACCUGGACAUCCAUAUAGUCUUAAUUCACUGCAGCGUGACUGUAGCCGUAUGCUGCUGUGAUUUUGCUGAACCUGUGGACUGGUGCAAUAUGAACAUGCACUGACAGUAAUGGCAAGCCAUGUCCUUUGAGUUGAGUCCUGAGCUGUUGUCUGCUGCACCCAGGUCCUAAACUGUGACUGUGAGUUCCUUUUUGCUUUCCUGCUCUGCCAUCAGGCACAGGAGCCAGGAUGGAGUUGGGAAAAUGGAUGAUGUCUUCGUCAUUUGCUUUGUCCAUCCUGCAGCCCUGAAAAGCCAAGAAAAGUAGAGCUGUCAAGGGACACGGGGAGGAUGCUCCUGCUGGGAACGGAUGAGAGGUAGAAGCUGCCCUUCUGGAUGCUUCUCACGCUUAAGCUUCUUCACCCAUCCCCUCUUACCUCCCCAGCCAUCAGAGCUGCAACUAAGGCACCCACAGCCCCUGUCUGGCCCAGGUCUGGUUCUUUCCUCCAGUCUGAGCUUCCCAGGUGAAGAGAGGCAUAUGCCCUUCGACGUGGGGCAGACCCAUGAAGCCUAACUUGGCUCCACAGGUGCCAAGCAGCACCACUGGAGAGCCAGCUGGCAUGGAGUGCAGCUGUGACAUGGCAGCAUCAUUAACUUGGAUAAUAAGACUAAGACACAACAAACCACCCUGGAUUUGUAGAGCUCCAUAUUUAUUUUUUGCAGUGUUUCUAACAUAAACCCCUGUAGAGCUGCGUAGUCGUGAACCUUACAGUAGUAUGCAUGGCAUCCUGCUUACUAUGAUAAUAAACACAAAUCCUUCUUUA